AUUGAACGCUGGCGGCAGGCCUAACACAUGCAAGUCGAACGGUAACAGGAAGCAGCUUGCUGCUUUGCUGACGAGUGGCGGACGGGUGAGUAAUGUCUGGGAAACUGCCUGAUGGAGGGGGAUAACUACUGGAAACGGUAGCUAAUACCGCAUAACGUCGCAAGACCAAAGAGGGGGACCUUCGGGCCUCUUGCCAUCGGAUGUGCCCAGAUGGGAUUAGCUAGUAGGUGGGGUAACGGCUCACCUAGGCGACGAUCCCUAGCUGGUCUGAGAGGAUGACCAGCCACACUGGAACUGAGACACGGUCCAGACUCCUACGAGAGGCAGCAGUGGGGAAUAUUGCACAAUGGGCGCAAGCCUGAUGCAGCCAUGCCGCGUGUAUGAAGAAGGCCUUCGGGUUGUAAAGUACUUUCAGCGGGGAGGAAGGGAGUAAAGUUAAUACCUUUGCUCAUUGACGUUACCCGCAGAAGAAGCACCGGCUAACUCCGU
rnacentral:rRNA from 1 species